UACGUAGGGUCCGAGCGUUGUCCGGAAUUACUGGGCGUAAAGAGCUCGUAGGUGGUUUGUCGCGUUGUUCGUGAAAACUCACAGCUCAACUGUGGGCGUGCGGGCGAUACGGGCAGACUAGAGUACUGCAGGGGAGACUGGAAUUCCUGGUGUAGCGGUGGAAUGCGCAGAUAUCAGGAGGAACACCGGUGGCGAAGGCGGGUCUCUGGGCAUGUCCUGACGCUGAGGAGCGAAAGUGUGGGGAGCGAACAGG
rnacentral:rRNA from 1 species